rnacentral:rRNA from 1 species
AUUGAACGCUGGCGGCAUGCCUUACACAUGCAAGUCGAACGGCAGCGGACCUUCGGGUGCCGGCGAGUGGCGAACGGGUGAGUAAUAUAUCGGAACGUACCUUUCAGUGGGGGAUAACGUAGCGAAAGUUACGCUAAUACCGCAUAUUCUGUGAGCAGGAAAGCAGGGGAUCGCAAGACCUUGCGCUGAUUGAGCGGCCGAUAUCAGAUUAGCUAGUUGGUGAGGUAAAGGCUCACCAAGGCGACGAUCUGUAGCGGGUCUGAGAGGAUGAUCCGCCACACUGGAACUGAGACACGGUCCAGACUCCUACGGGAGGCAGCAGUGGGGAAUUUUGGACAAUGGGCGCAAGCCUGAUCCAGCCAUGCCGCGUGAGUGAAGAAGGCCUUCGGUUGUAAGACUCUUUCAGGUGGAAGAAAUAGA